rnacentral:rRNA from 1 species
GCCAGACUCCUACGGGAGGCAGCAGUGGGGAAUAUUGCACAAUGGGGGAAACCCUGAUGCAGCGACGCCGCGUGAGUGAAGAAGUAAUUCGUUAUGUAAAGCUCUAUCAGCAGGGAAGAAAAUGACGGUACCUGAGUAAGAAGCCCCGGCUAACUACGUGCCAGCAGCCGCGGUAAUACGUAGGGGGCAAGCGUUAUCCGGAUUUACUGGGUGUAAAGGGAGCGUAGACGGCCAGACAAGUCAGAAGUGAAAGCCCAGGGCUCAACUCUGGGACUGCUUUUGAAACUGCCGGGCUGGAGUGCAGGGGAGGUAAGCGGAAUUCCUAGUGUAGCGGUGAAAUGCGUAGAUAUUAGGAGGAACACCAGUGGCGAAGGCGGCUUACUGGACUGUAACUGACGUUGAGGCUCGAAAGCGUGGGGAGCAAACAGGAUUAGAUACCCGUGUAU